ensembl:lncRNA
CUUCCUCAUAAGACGUUAAAAGUGUGGAGUUUGAGGGAGCUGGAUCAGUGGACCUUUACUCACACUCAGACAUUUAGAAAUACUAAGAGUCAGAUCAGCAGGAGGAUAAAACAUAGAAAUGUCUGCAGUAACUUUGUUGCUCUGCUUGACUUUCCUGUUUAUCUGCGUCUUCGUGUUUGUCUCUGCAGAGCAUAAAGUCAUCACAGCUGACUCUGGACGGGAUGUCACUGUGCCAUGUCAAGCUCCAAACGACAACAACAACUUAAUUGUAGUUUGGGGCAGAGCUGACCUGAAGUCAGAAUAUGUCCUUUUGUACCAUGAUGAGUUGAUUGUUCCAGACAACCAGCAUCCAUCUUUUGUGAACCGGACAGAUCUGCAGGACAGACAGAUGAAGGAUGGAGACGUGUCUUUGAUUCUGAAGAGUGUGAACACUGAUGACACUGGAAUGUACGAGUGUUAUGUCAUCCGGGGAUUCAGAAAACGUACGAUUCUCAUCGGCAAAAUCUACCUUUAUGUCGUUCCUCCAGGUCACAAAGGAGGAGACAUAGAGGAUGGAUCUGUUGGACUGAUCCUUCGUCUGUCAGUUCCUGCUGUGGUUCUGGUGUUAAUUAUCCUUAAACUACAUAAACAUUGUGCGACAUUUUGAAAGCUGUGAUCCAUAGUUGCAGGGGGGCUGAUCAGGCAGAUUUUAUUCACUUUAAGUACAAAUGUAAUAUAAAAUCAUAUACUGGAUAUCAUAUGUAUACCAUGUGAUAUCACAUGUCUGAUCCAAAGGUAUUUCACAUCAAUAUUUCGAGUCUCUGGAAGUAUCCAGAUGGCUGAUUCUGAUUCAGUUGGGAAUAUUCCUGCUACAAGGGAGUUCUACCUCCCCAUUUUC